rnacentral:ncRNA from 2 species
CGCGGCAACUCUGGAGAGCGAGGGGCGCGACUCCUCCACCGAAGGGGCACGCGGCGAUCGCCGCCGCAAUCUCUCAGGUCGGAAUCCAUCAGGGGAUUCCCGAGGACAGAGGGGUGAUG